UUCAAAUGUGAAGCAGCUUCUUUAUCUUGUGAAGAGUCCAGACUGUAGACUGGAGACUCUGUGGUGGCAGUAAAGGUAAACAGGACGGUAUGUGAGCUGAGAGAGGAUGAGCUGAGUCCUGAUGAUCCAGAGGUUGAAUCAGCAGCAGCUUGUGUGUAGAGAGACUCUGACUUGACCAUGUUACUGGGAGGUGGAGUCAAGAGGAGAGCUUCAUCCACAUGUUUCUCAAUUAACAUCAUCAACAGAGCUGCAAUCAAUCUAUUCUAACAGAACCAACAAAUAAAGUCCAGUUCCUCUGGAAUUAUUCAAACAUUAAGGAUUUUUUUUUUUUUUUCGAAAUUGUUAUUUACACCUUAAGAUGGAACCAAAUCUCCACUAGUGACCUGUAUGGAGUCAGGGCUAAUGACAUAUUAUUGUAAUUGUUUUUUAUGUUUUAUUAAAUAACAUAAGUGUGUAUUUACAUUUAGCACAUCAGAUAAGAUAUUUCUUCUACAUGGUGAAAUUUUAGGUCAUUUUGAUUCUUUCUGUAUUUGAAACACUGAAAAUACAAUAGAAAAUGUAAAGUAAAAGUGGGAAAUGUUCCUAUGAUAUUACUGUAACUGUACUUUCCUGUAGGAUUAUUUCAUCCUGGAUUUAUCUGUUUAUUCAUUUUUUGUGCAUAAUGAUAUAAAAACAUGUUCCUUAUGAAAUGAUCUGGAUUUAAACAGUAAUUAUAGAUGUCAGAGUACAUGUAGCACAGUGGACAUAUAAUGUGCAGAAAGUUGAUGAAGAAGGACAUUGAAGGAUGAGUUGAAUAUUUUUGUGCAUUUUGUAUGUGGUUUAAUGCAAGGAAAAUAAGUAAAUAAACACUUUACAAGUA